UACAGAGGUCUCAAGCGUUGUUCGGAUUCAUUGGGCGUAAAGGGUGCGUAGGCGGCGUGGUAAGUCUGAUGUGAAAUCUCGGAGCUUAACUCCGAAACUGCAUUCGAUACUGCCGUGCUUGAGGACUGGAGAGGAGACUGGAAUUUACGGUGUAGCGGUGAAAUGCGUAGAUAUCGUAAGGAAGACCAGUGGCGAAGGCGGGUCUCUGGACAGUUCCUGACGCUGAGGCACGAAGGCCAGGGGAGCAAACGGG
rnacentral:rRNA from 1 species